rnacentral:rRNA from 1 species
UAGAGAGAGACAUGCGCGCAUAUCAAUAAGCGGAGGAAAAGAAACUAACUAAGGAUUCCCUCAGUAACGGCGAGUGAAGCGGGAAGAGCUCAAAUUUGAAAUCUUCAAGGUUCUACCUUGACGAAUUGUAGUUUAAAGAAGUGUUUUCUGUUGGAGUUUUGGUAAAAGUUCUUUGGAAUAGGACAUCAUAGAGGGUGAGAAUCCCGUAUUUGACCAUUAUUUCCAGCUUUGUGAUACACUUUCAAAGAGUCGGAUUGUUUGGGAAUGCAGUCCAAAAUGGGUGGUAAAUUUCAUCUAAAGCUAAAUAUUGGCGAGAGACCGAUAGCGAACAAGUACCGUGAGGGAAAGAUGAAAAGAACUUUGAAAAGAGAGUUAAACAGUACGUGAAAUUGUCAAAAGGGAAGCGUUUGACACCAGUGUUGUUUUCUCGAAAAUCAAUUAAAAAAGGCAGGAUAUUGUGUUGUAUUGACUUUAUCAGCUUUCUGCACUCUUUUCUUGUCUUUUUUAAUGCACUUUUCGUUUAACAAGUCAACAUCAAUUUCUUUUGUUGUAAAAGGGUCAUUGGAAGGUGGCUUUCUUUUCGGAGAAAGUGUUUAUAGCCUUUGGCCUCUGCAAUCGGAGAGAUUGAGGUCUGCAGCGUAGAUCCUUCGGGGUUAGAUACAUUUGUAGCUAAGUUAUAGCCUUUCAUAGACAACUUGUUGACUAUGAUCAGUCAUGUAGCUUACUCGCUUAUGCUAUUUUACCUACGCUUAGGAUGUUGAUGUGAUACUGCGAGCA